UUUCUGUGUGCUGAUGCGCAAUUUGUUAUUCGUUAAUAAAUGAUAUUAAGUCAAUUUAAAUCUGUGAUAAUUUGUGACCUUUUCUUUAACAAGGCUGAUGUCAACCCUGAUGUCUUCACUCACAGAGAAAGGUAAACAGUUCAUUCACUCAACAGUACGACUGGAUCAGAGUCGGAUAUCGGCCGAUACACUCAGCCCGGGUAUUGGUAUUGGAUUGGAAAAAAAUGUGUCUCUAGAUUUAAGGUGCCCUCACAUGUGGUCCUGAACCAGAUUAAGGUCCCGUCUUUUAGGAAGAGGCGAGGUCAGAGUGCAUGUGACUCAGAGCGAGGAGCAGAUUUACGUGCACAAAGUGAACUCGGCCAAAACAACGUUUAAAAACUGUGAGUGAGUCAGUGAAAGUAAAUAAAAACCCUCUUUAGCAUGUUGUGGUGUUUGUGCAGGAUAAAACAACUUUAAUAUUUAAGAGCGGCUGAUUUUGUUUUGUUUUCUGACUUUAUCAUGUUUAAAAUUCAAAACUGGCUCAAAGGUUUUAUUUGAACUAAACUACUCAUGAAUAAAAAAUCAUUAUCAACUUUCUUUGUGGUAAUAAAAGUCAAAGGACUUUUAAUUAUGGGAGAUAAUCAUUAGAGUCAUUUGAUUUAUCCUGUGAUCAGUCUAUCAGAUAUUCUUCAGUUUGUCACAUUUGUUUGUUUUUUUCUGUCUAUAAAAAAGUUAAAAUUAUUCUCACACAUGUUCACCUUUCAGCUUCGUUUAACUUCUAAAAAAACUGUGAAAAAUAAUUUUGAAUAGAAUAAAAUUAUUAGAAAUUACUAUAUUAAAUCCAGAAAGUCAGUUCAGGAUCACAAACAACUUUAGAUUUCAGGUUUUUAAAAAAUACAUAAAUAUAUGUACUGAUGAAUAAAACUACUAUGACUCUUAAAACGCAUGAAAGAUUUCUUUCCUAGUUUUGAUGAAUUUUACUCAUUUGUUUAAUUUUCAAACUGUGUGUUUUCACUAUGAUGCGUCAUUUUUAAAUACAUUUUUUUUUUACUAUUUGCUGCUGAUCAUGUAAAUUAUCCAUUAAUGUGAUCAAUUAAGGUUUAUAUAAUCUUAUUAAUGCAUAUUUGAUAUUUAUUUUUUGAAGAUGACUCUCCUUAAAAGGAUUUUUAUGAUGUUUUUGUAGAUCAGACUGCAGCUCACCUUAAAUAUUUACUUCUAAACUGUCGGGGACAAAAGUUUGAAUUUUAAUAUAAAAAUACUACUACUAGUAAUAAUACUAAUAAUACCUUAUAACUGCAGAAAAAAAAGAACUUUUUUGAUAAUUAAUACAUUUUUUAUGGACUCAAUCAUUUUAAACAAAAAUCCCAGAUUAUUAAGAGACGUUAAUAAUGAACACUAAAAGAAGUGUGCUGAAAAUGAAAAUAUGUGGUAGUUUUACAUUAAAUAAAAUAAAUAAGCAAAAUUAAACAGUUUUAAUGGAAACAUGUUUCAAUGAUUUUAUUAUUAAAAAACAACAUUUUAGGAAUUUUAAACAGAAGUCAAGAAAAAAGAAACUGAAACUAACUUUUAUUUAAAUAGAUUAUUAAAGAUGGCUUAUAUGAGGAUAAACUGCUGACCCCCUGAAACUGCUGUGAGCUUCUCUGACUGACCACAUGGAGGCGCUCUGACACCACACAUCACUCCUUAGCAACAUCUACUCCUUCAAUAUCUAUCUAUCUAUCUAUCUAUCUAUGGGUGUGUGUGUUUGUGUGUGUGUGUGUGUUUGUGUGUGUGUGUUGCAGUAAAUAAACACACACAUACAUAUAUUUACAUAUCUACAUAUUAAAUGUAAUAAAAAGCACACAGGUGAGGUUGUAAAUUUUUAUGUAAUACUUACAGCUGCUGAAUAUAAAACUAACAUAAAGUAACCCUGGUGCUUUACUCUUAUCUUGACCUUUGACCUUUCAGAUCUGCUGAUUCAGAGCUUUUUUUUUUCAGAGUUUGCAGAAUUAACCUGAAACUGUUUCCACAUGUGCAUUAAACUCCUGAAACCUCAUGUUUAUUUAAGGAUGCAGCAGGUAAUAAUCAGGAAAAUUCAUGUAGAUGAAAGUAAAAACAGUAAAAACACCGAGGGUAAAAUAAGACCUUUAUCAAUAUGUCUUUAAAAAUAAAAGGACAACUAUACAGUAAAGUGAAUUAAAAGCACCUGAGUCAUUUGUACGUGGAAACUCCUCACAGUGAGUUAAAUUAAAGCUCCUGUAAGGAGUUUUCAGCUGCUCCUGAAGCAGGUUAAAGUUCGCGCCGAUGUUUCUUUAUGACUGAACUCGUGGUGUGGUCGAGUUUUGAUAUCAGAGCAAUGACUCUGCAGGUCCUGUCAGUUUGAUCAGCUGCACAGAUUGAUGCUUUUCUAUUGGUUUAAACAGCAACCGCCUCUGCAGAGACGUGGACUGACAUGUUUGCAGAAUUUGCAGGCAUGAUGCAUCAUACUGGUGGGACUGGGAUCGAGACACUAAAAGAACACAGUAACCAGCCGGAGCGUGCAAACAAGCUGUCUAUUUCUGGUCUAUUUCCAUGUGAAUAUGAGGGAGCGCAGCACAGAACUUGUCCAGUAGGUGUCAGUAAUUAACAUAAAACUCCUCCAUGUUAUACAAUGAGACGUUUUUGGUUAAAUCUGAAUAAAGUGACACAGUUCAGGACAUGUCGGUGUUGUGUAUUUGUUGGGAUCUGGGACGACAGAGCUUGAAAACAGGUUGUUUGUCUGUCCGGUCUCAGAGAGAGGAGAGGUCAUCGAGUUUGGUGAAUUUAGAAAUUUUUUUAUUGGCAUUUGCUUGAGCUGUUGGUCGUCUCUGCUAACUAAACUAACCCAGUGUAAACUUAGACUUUUCUUAACACCUGUGGCUCGUAUUCUGCAGAUUGUACUCAUGUCAUCCCUUCACUUACUUGUAAAUAAGCGACUUUAAUUGUUUGUUUUUGUUGGUUUAAACUAUUUAACCUGAGCGAUAAGUUAUGAAAUAUUCCCAUUGUUGGGCUAAUAUCCGAUUGCCGGAUAUAUAUCGUGCAUCACUCUUUAGAAGAUGUUUUGCAGGGAUGUUAAAAAGAUGAAGCAGCAAAAAUGCAACACUUGGUUCAAAAAUAUUACUGUAAUAUUUGCAGGAUAAAUGCAGAAGCUAAUGCGUGCAGAAACUAAAAACAGGCGGUAAACGGCGCGUCGGUGUGAACUCCGUUACAUCGCCUGCAAAAUUCUGCAGACACAGAAAGCAGCCUGAGAAAUGUCAUCGUUUUAAAGCAAUCUUAAGAGGAGGGUAAGAGGUGAUAAUAGGUUUGGCUCAGCUUUAAUACUGUUUGCAUAGGUGUGUGUACGCCUGUGUGUGUGUGUGAGAGAGUGUGUGUGUACAUUUAUCUCUCUUGUAGCAGCCUCUGAGAGCGGCAGCAUCUCCAAAACAAUUUACAGCCGACAUGUUUAUAGUCCUCCGUCGUAAAAACAGCAGAUUGAUCCUCUCGCUCUCUCUCUAUCAUAUUCAGCGCCGUACGCUCCAUUAAAAACUCGCCUUCAAUAUUUUAGUGUGUUUUAAGCGGGGAGAUAUUUCUGCACGGCUCCAGCAGCCGGGACCCCGGGGGCGUUUUGGGGCUCCCAAAAUAUUUGAAGAGGCAUAAAAAUCACGCCGUCCAUAAUGUAAACGAAUACAUAAUAUGGUUUUUACCAUUAGGGGGAAUCAGACAGCCGUCUAUAACAGCAGCAUUAGAGAGCAGGGUCAUAUAAAUAACAACAAGAGGGCGCUGAAGGAUCCGGGCUUUAGAGGCGAGUCAGAGUCCUCUUAUUUAUACCAGACUGAAAACCAAAACCUGAACCUUUCAUAAAUUAUUAAAUCUAAGAGUGAAUUUAUUUCUAAUGUUUGUUUUUAUUUCAAAAUAGUAAAAAAAUGAUCUCAAUAACUUUGUUUUUGUUUUUUAAAAUAUCUCAUUUCAGUGGGGGAGUGAUGUUUCUGUCUGUUAUAGUAGAGACCAUGAAUCAGUGUGUUAAAAAGAGACAUUAUUUUCAGAGUGAAUGGAACAAAAACACACAGGAAGAGUGAAGAACAACAAACAUGGAGGAAAUUCUGUGUCUGUAAACUGAGUAUUUUCAUAUCGAACUGAUAUGGAGACAAAAACACACAACUCUCCUGCUAAAAAUCCACAUUCAUUCACAUUCAUUCAUUCAUGUCCUCAAAUAGGUCCACGCCUGACAAGUGGUCGAGGAUUUAACCCUUUGUGGUUGAGAAAAUCCACUGAAUGUGAAGAUUGGAGUCCUUAAAGCAUCAUUAACAGAGUCGAAUAUUUUUUAACAGUGUGCAAUGAAAGCGAAUAGGAAUACUUAACACUGAAUCUUAAAGUUACAGCUCCAUUAGACGAUGUAACUCCUCUGCUAACCACACAAGAACCGGAUUACUGACAGGAGCACGUCCACCUCCGCUACAGUAGGGGGCGACAUGCAAAGGCAGUCACCUAUCAUAUGUCAAAACAAUCGACAAAACAUGUCUGAAUGAUGAGAACACCGUCGCUUUUACAGCUCUGUACCGUUUCUCUGAAUGAUCGGAGAGUUUCGUCUUUUCUUCAUCUGUCGAGUUUUUACUUUCACUUUCCUGUUUCAUAACAAAACAUCUGUGCUGCUCAGUUGGACUGAGCAUAUACUGAAGAUAAAACUGAUCCUUAAACCACAUUAUUGAGAUUUGUUUGUCCAGCUUUGGGACGCGCAUUCUAGAGCUAUUUCAGUCAGACUUAUGUGUUCACAUGUUUUUAAAAGUCCGACUCAGUAAUUCAGAGUUUCUGAACCUGGACUGAUUGUGUUUAUCUUCAGACAGACUCGAUGGUAACCUCUCUGGUAUUUUCCAAAACAUCGCCCUACAGUGAAGUUCAGGUGUUUCUGUGAAGGUUAAUCAGCAGCUAAAAUGUGCAGAAACUCCAACAAAGAGAACAGAGAUCAUCUGUACCUGUGAGCAGGAAUAAUGUAGAGCAUGAGUGAGUGAAUGUGAUUAUUCUGCUUUAAUAAAUAUAUAAGAUCAGAUAUUUCUUCUUUUCUGGAAAUAUGGACCUGAAUUUACUCAGAGAUUGUUCAGAUUGGAUUGGAAACAGUGAGGGAGUAACACAGAGGAGAGAGGAGAUGAGAUAGGAGACAAAAUGAAGUGAAGGAUGAAGGAGACAAGGAGGAGGAGUAAAGUCAAGGAUUUAAAGUAGGAGUGUGUGUGAUAACUUCUGACCCUCUUUAUCCACUUAAACACACACAGACACACACACACACACACACACACACACACACGGACAGAAAGAGUGUGUGAGAAGGAUGGAGACAGCGGCGUCCUCCUGUCUCUCUCUCUCUCUUUCACUCCCUCUCUCCGUCACACACACUCAGUCAGCCUCGAUCGCCCCUCUCAUCGGUCCCUCCCUCUCUCUCUCUCUCUCUCUCUCUCUCUCUCUCUCUCUCUCUCAGGGUCGAGCAGCUAAAGUUCACACUGAGGUCACCGUUACUGUAUAAAUGUGUGUGUGAGAGUGUGUUUUAUAAAGUUCACAGGUAAAGUCAAACUCUGCAGAAAGUGACAUUAUUCUUCGAUAUAUUAAUGAAUCAGAACAAUUAUUGAACUUUUAUGACGUUAAAAUGAUAAUUAUUUAAAUUAUAUUAAACUAGAGGAAGAGACGGACAGAGGUGAGAUUAAUUAUUUUACCUUGACUGAUAAGAUGAUUCUGCAAAAAUCCUAGUGAGGCGUUAAAAUGAGCUCAAACCAUCGAGUUAGUUUUUUAAAUGUGCAAUAAAUAAUAAGGUUUAAUCUCCUUUAAUGUAAGUCUUUAAUCACUUCAUUUAAAAAGUUUCAUUAAAAGUAAAAUUAUAUGUCUUUAAAGCUCCUGUGAGAAACUUUCGCUUUUAGUAGAGUGUGGUGCCCCCUCUGUUCCCCUGCUGUCUGAAGCCAAAACACUUAGAGCUCCCCCUGCUGGCCGGCUGCAUCAUGACUCCACUUCCUGAAGAGUCCAGCGUACACCUGUCCUUGUAAACAUAAAUCAGCAUGAUAAGAACAAACUUCAUUUUAUUUAAUGUGUAUUUUGAUCUUAGAGUUUGCACCAUGUCGCAUUUGUUAACAUGGAGGAGGCGGAGCUUAUGACUUAUAUUGUGACAUCACCAGGGGGAGCUCUAGAUACUUUGGCUUCACUUUUAGGGAGCUAUGAGUUCACUUUUUAUCGGCCAACAACUCCAAAAAACUUCAGAAAAGUUUGUGCAUGAAGAGUUUUCUGCAGAAAAAGGAAAACAACACACACAAACACACACACACACACACACACACACACACACACACACACACACACACAAGGGAGAGACACACAAAGAGACACACUGACAGACAGACAUGAGGUUACUUAGUGUUUGAGUUCAAUACUGACCCAAUGUACUGAUACCAGCCUGGCGUCACCAGCACUCUAUGUGUGUGUGUGUGUGUGUGUGUGUGUGUGAUUGAUUUAGGUGGAGCCACGGAGGUACAGACGUGGAGUUGUUGCGUUUUCAGCCAAACUGCAAAAUCAAUGCAAAGUGGAUUUGAAUGAAAGAAGUACACACUGCUUUCAUCCAGUGUGUGUGUGUGUGUGUGAGUGUGUGUGAGUGUGUGUGUGUGUGUGUGUGUGUGUGUGUGUGUCUGUCUGUCUUUGAGACCCAGCUGGUAACCCACGGCGACAGGGCGCUGUCAGCCAUUACAGCUCCAGCGUCUCCGCAGCGACCAUUAACGAUAAUGUUGUUGUUGCCGUGGCUACAAAUACACUCGUUCCACUCCAUUUGCAUUUGGAGAGAGACGGAGAGAGACGGAGAGAGAGGGAAACAGAGGAUGGGGAAAAACAGGGCUGAAAGAUGAGAAAAGGAGGAUGAGGAAGAGACACAGAGAAAUAACGGUUGUGUUUCCUCUUGUCUGUGUUUUUGUCUCCGUCCCUCCGUCCGUCCGUCUGUCUCUGGUUCUGAGUCCGUCUGCAGAACCCUGGAGCCCUCCCAGUCUGUGAAGUCAGGUCAAGACUUCCAGUCCAGUCAUCUCCGUGUCAUUAAGAGUCAAUCUGACACUCUGUAAGUGGACUUGAUGCACUGAUGCACUUUGAUGCUUCCAUGAGUCAAACUUUUCUGACUGUUGGUCGGCAUGUUUAUGUUCAGGGUGAAGAUGGAAAGUCUUUAAGAGGUUAGGGUUAGGAAAGGACCUUCACUUUAUUUCUGUCUGAGGAGAACUCGGCAAAACAAAAUCUAAUGUCGAAUAAGAGAGACUAAUAAAGACGCAUCCUGAACUGAAGACACAGCAGGUUUGGAAACACCAAGUGUGGUGGUGCCAUCGUGGGUGUCCUGGCUCGAACCUUAACUCUGACAGCGGCCUUUCUGUGUGGAGCCACAUCUUCUCUCUGCGUGUCUCUGUGUACUUCAGCAUCCUCUUAUAGGCUGGAGUGUUAAAGGGAUAUUCCAGCACAAAAUUAAGUUAGGGUCAAUCACACCAUAACACCGAGUUAGACACCCCCUCAAGAGAUGAAUGUUGCCGACAGCUUGCUUCUCUAGUUAAACCAACUUUAGUAACGACCGCAGGAUAACUCGGGGUUACGGUGUGUUUGACCCUAACUUAAUUUUACGCCAGAAUAUCCCUUUAAUGCCAGUGAAGCUGAGUGAUGUGCAGCAACCUUCGUCUGGAUAAAUCUGCUGCAAAAGUCAGUGAGGUUUGGUCCUCUAACACACUGAACUUCUCAUCUUUCCUGUCAGUGAUGAGCGCCCCCUAUAGGCUCAAAGUACUUCAGCCGCCAUGUCUUGAUUUGUGUUUUUCUUUUGCUUGUCCAUGUUGUGUUUGUGUUUUUUUUUAAAGGUUUAUAUUUGACGUUGUUUCUUUUAGUGUCCCUUUCUUUUUCAUUAGUUGUGUGUUUCAGUUGUUGCAUUUGUUGAGGACUUCUGCUCUUGUUUUUGAAUGUGCGUCAUUGUUGGAUAAGCGACACACUUUUUGAGAUUUGUAAAGUAGAUCGAAAACGUUCCAUUUUCUUUUCUUUUGGGCUUUAUGUGUGACGAAUUAGGACAGAAGAAAAAGUGGUAAAUGGUGUAAGAAAGCGGGAGUUACAUGCAGGAAGGGCGCCACAUGUUGAGAUAGAACCUAGAUUGUCCAUUUGAAGCAUGACCUGUGUACAUGGGGUGCACCCGAACCGCUAACAGUUAAAUAGGAUAACAGGAAAUCUCUAAGUCAUGUUCAAAUUAAACAAAGUUAACGUUUAUCAUGACGUUAGCACCUGUUGAAAGUCUAAAACCCCAACUGCUGCGAUCACAGUUUAUGAUUUAAUCCAAACACAUUAUUUACAUUAUGAGCCAUGAGUCGUCUCUCCCUGUUCUCUUUGCUCAAGUUGUUUGUGAUCCGUUUUAUGUAGUAAGAGCAGGUUUGGACUCAGUGAACAAAAUAACUAUAAAUAAACCAAGUAUGCUUCCACUGCUGCACCGACCCCUGCAGUUUAAGUCAGUGACUCACUGCUGCCAGUUGGUGGUGAAAGUUUUCCCGCCUGUUCACAGCCAACAUAAUACAGAUGUGUCUGAUUUAGGAUUUAAGUUAUAUUUUUCUUACAUUAAUGUUCAUGUUUACAAUGACUCUUCAAAAAGUAACUGUAUGAGCCACUUUAUAUAUAUAUAAUGUUUUGGAUUUUGUUUUGUUAUUCGCACAAUCACCACAAGGGGGCGCUUCAGGUGAAUGGGCAGGUAAAUGCUACAAAAGGGACACAGGUGAAGCAGUGAUCUGGGGAAUGGGAAGAGCACACGGUUUUUACCGCUAAUGUCCGACACCACUCUCACCUUCAUCACCUACAUCACCAUCGUCGUAAUUUGGACGUAUCUGUCCUUUUUUGUUUGAUUUUAAUCUGACAUUGGAUUGUACCAGAAGCGCGUCAAAAACACCUCACUCCCUCACCCAGACAGUGACUAAAAUUCAGGUCAGCAUAGUCACUACAGUAACUCUGAUAAACAACAGCUGACAGAUUAGCAGACGUGUGUUUACAUCUGGGUUUUUGCAGAUUGGUCAGACCUGUUAGCCACCGUCCCAAAAACAUGCUUGUUGGGUUAAGACUCCUGGACGAGUGUGUGUGAGCGCGUUCUUAAACUGAGAAGGAAACCCUGAUUUUUAUUAAUAUUAUUAUUACUUUAACCAGAAAACACAACUCUCACCUGUACAGGUCAGAAGCAGCAAAGUUUUUUAGGUACCGCUCCAUCUUUGGGGCGACAAAGUUGUUUCCAACUCAAACUUCCUGACAGGAGCUUUAAGAUUUGAAGCUCGGAUACUAACUGAGGCCUCACAGAGCAGCAUGAAAGUGAUGAUGAUGCUCAUGAAGACAGGUGUUCAUCAGAAAGGUGACUGAAUAAUUAGAGCGGGCAAACACCACCUGAUCCUGCUUCAUAGUGUUUUUAUGUCACACACAACUUCUCUCCCAAAUUCAUACACACUCACACACACACACACACUCACACACACUCUCGGUGUUAAGCAGUGCAAUGGCUCCAAAGAGAGCGCACAGUGGGGCGAUAACACUUGGCGUAAUGCCCCUUUAAAAGGCAAUAACACCCACAAUAAUCACCUUCCUCCCUCUCGAUCCGUCUCCAUCUUGUUAAAAAGCUCCUCUCUCUGCUUGUUUCUGCACAUGAAGUUGUCGUUUUGAAUUUUUUCUGCAGCUGUAAAAGGUUAGUGAACGCUGGCAGCUUCUGUUUCGCUUAAAGAGCAGUAAUCUUUGUAAUAAUUACCUCUCUGCCUCGCUGUCUGGAUUCACACGAGCCUCUCUAAUCGCCUCCUUCACCUCCUCCUCUCCGCGAGUCGAACUGGAAGUUAUAAAAGUCAUGUCUGUAUGUGUUUACAGCUUUUUAAAAGCACUUAAAUUAAUGGUGAUUACUGAUCUGCAUCUGUCUCUAUAAAACUGCUCAGUUUGAGAAGCUGUCGGACGGAAUAACCUGAAAAACAAGAAACCAGACACUUCAGCAGUUUAUCCUUGUUUUUAUUCUUCAUAUGUAUCUGAUUCAAUGUUUUUAUCCUCAAUUUAGACAGAAGCAUCUCUGAAAAACUCUGUUUAACUUUGCUUUAAGUUGUGAAAUUCAGAGUUUAGGGAGUUGAGAGGACACAGAAUGAACUGAGUGUAAACAGGGAAGUGAUGGAGGUUGAUUUGGAGAUGUUCAUACACUAGAAAAUGACAUUAUUAGGGGGCUGUUUACAUUAAAUACUGUAUUAUAAGUCCAGUAUUCAUUCUCUUAUGAUGCAAGUUUGGUCACCAGAAGCUCCUGACCUGAUCAUGGUGCUGCUACCGUAAAACUUUAGUUAGUAGACUCGGCUUUCAGAGGUCGACAACCCAUUUUUCUAGCUUGGUGACACGUCUGUCUAGGGUAAUCAGUCUGAUAAUAUUACACACACACACACAGUAAAAUAAACCAAUUAUUCAACAAAUUCAAUCAGAAACAUCAGAACACCUGAUCCAAAAACCUGCAGCUGUACAAACUGAGCCUCUGCUGAGUCAUGCCAGAAGAGACGCCACCAGACUUUGAUUUUAAGUGCUUUCAGAAAAAUGACCGUCCAUCAGUCAUACCGGAGAAACUAUUUUUAUGAUGGACCUGAAAUGAGAAACAGAGAGGCAGACUCCACAGAACCCACAGAUGUGCUGACAAAGUCCAGGCAGAUGUAAACAAAGUGGGGACAUUUUUAUGUAAGCAUCAUAUUUAGUUUUAAUCUUGUAAGUAUUUUUAUGAAAAAUGUGAUGUAGAAAUAUGAUGACAAACCUGGAAACCUUAGAGAUAUCAGUCUAAAUCUUUGGAUUACAGCCGACUAAAUGAAACUAAAACUGCUCGACAGUGUAUGAUAAUGUAAUGAUGUAGUCCUACUUUUUAAAAAUCAAUUUAGAUUAAUGGCUGUUUUUGAUUAAUAUUAUCUUUAAAGGCUUUAAUAAAAGAGUUUGUCUACUGUUUAUGGCAGUACAUUUCUGCAAAUAAAAUUAAACAGACAGAAACUUGGCCUCAAUGAAUUAAAGUCCUGAAUAUUAAGUCAAAAUUUAGAGAUGAGGACUAAAAUUAUGGAAGAAGUUAAAACUAUAAGUUAAAGUUGCAAAAUUAUGUAAACAAAAGUCCUAACUAUAAAUUCAAAGUCAUAAAAUAAGAUUAAAAGUUAAAAAUAUGUCUUAAAAAUCUAAAUUCUUGGACAAAAAGUUAAAAUUAGGUCAUAGUCAUACUGUUUAAUACCAUAAAUAUUACUUAUGUUUAAAAAAAUCUCAUUGUUUUGAUUUUUUUUAUCAUACUUAUGACAUGCUAUCAUAAAUUUUGCUUUUUAUCCCUUUAUUAUGUCUUAUUAUGUUGUAAAUUUGACUAUCAUCAAGUUAUUUUAACUUCUUAUUAAAGAAUUAUAACUUGCUAUCUCAUAUUUAUGACUCACCAUAUAAUAAUUUUUAUUUCAUCUUAUAAUGGUGUCUCAUUAUUUCAUUACUUCUCAUCUAUUUGCAUAAAACUUUGACCUUUUAUCUCAUAAUCUUGACUUUAUUUUUAAGAUUAUUUUUCACUGAGGCAAAGCAAAGUCUCUCUCUCUCUUUAUUUAUUUUCUAAUUCUUUAGUUUAAGUAUUAAUCUGUUUUCAUCAGGCAGAAACAGCCUCUCAGACUUUUCCUCCUGUUUACUGACCGCAAGUUUCAGAUUUCUCCGGCUGUACCGGUAGAUGGCGGUAAUGCGCGUCAGUGCUAGUCUGUCAACCGCCAAUCAUAUUAAACGAAGAAGAAGCAGCGGCUCGCGGAUGCGCACCUUGUUUUGGACAUUUGAAUUUUGAGCGCGAAAAAAUGGAGGACGGUAAUAGGCUGCCGACAGUCAGUGAGCGAGUGAGGACAUUAACGGCUCAGGUGUUGAAGAAGGACUUUAACCUGCUUACCUGGAGGAAGAGGAGGAUGAAGGAGGCUGUUUUACAGAGCUACGUCGUUAAAAGUGAGUACGAACUGAAAAUAAAUCGCACCGCUGUGUGUUUGGGGCUAACGUUAGCUAACUAGCUAGCUUGCUGGUUAGCGUUCGCUGCCGUCAUUUCCAUGGCAACGGUCAAAGACGUUACUAGCUUCUUAUGCUAGCAGUCUCUGAGUUGUUGGUGUUGUUGAGCCACAGAGGCUUUAAUUUCUGAUACUUUGGUGUGUGGAGAAGCGAUAAUACUCAGGUUUCUGUUUUAUAUUUCGUGUUUUAAUGUGGUUGAAUUUUCGGAAUCAUUGAAUCUGUUGCUGGAGCGGAGUCGACUUUUGUUGCUGUUGGCUGUAUAAUGUGUUAAAACUGUCUGUAAUCCAGUUUACCCGGUCAACAGGAUAAAUUAUUCAUUUUAUAAUGUAAGUUAUAACAUAAAACAACAUGAAGGG